GAAAUAGGAGCUUAGUAUUUUACUCGUUUGGAUCAUAUUUGUUUCUAUCUGUGAGGAAUAAGUUGAGUCGAAGAGCUUUUAAACACUUCGUUUGUCUCUGUUGGCUGAUAGCCAUAAGGGAGACGUUCGAACUCAUUCGUCGAGCUUCGGAUCUGUUCAUUACGAGAGAGUAGAUUCGAGGCCCCGUCUCAGUUCACUUCACCCACAAGAGAGUUUCAUUUGAAACUCAACGACACCGCCAUUGCAAGGAGUCUGCACAUCCUCACUCUUCCUCGCCUUUGCACUGCUUGAACAUCGAAUUACAUAAGAGAUUUUGUCCUUCUGUUGAAGCCGGACAUGGCUAUGGGUCAUCUCAUUCAUUUCUGCUUGUUUUUACUUUACUUGCGUUGGAAUGACUUUUAUCUUUAAUUAUGUGUUUUCUGUUGGAAGAGAUAAAAUUGUUACAUAAUGAUUAACAGCUGGAUUUAUUUGGUCA